rnacentral:rRNA from 1 species
GAUGAACGCUGGCGGCGUGCCUAAUACAUGCAAGUCGAGCGAAUGGAUUAAGAGCUUGCUCUUAUGAAGUUAGCGGCGGACGGGUGAGUAACACGUGGGUAACCUGCCCAUAAGACUGGGAUAACUCCGGGAAACCGGGGCUAAUACCGGAUAACAUUUUGAACCGCAUGGUUCGAAGUUGAAAGGCGGCUUCGGCUGUCACUUAUGGAUGGACCCGCGUCGCAUUAGCUAGUUGGUGAGGUAACGGCUCACCAAGGCAACGAUGCGUAGCCGACCUGAGAGGGUGAUCGGCCACACUGGGACUGAGACACGGCCCAGACUCCUACGGGAGGUAGCAGUAGGGAAUCUUCCGCAAUGGACGAAAGUCUGACGGAGCAACGCCGCGUGAGUGAUGAAGGCUUUCGGGUCGUAAAACUCUGUUGUUAGGGAAGAACAAGUGCUAGUUGAAUAAGCUGACACCUUGAUGGUACCUAACCAGAAAGCCACGGCUAACUACGUGCCAGCCGCCGCGGUAA